ensembl:lncRNA
GCAUUCUGCCUCUCUGGGAUUAAAUUAAAGGUCUUUAAGAAAUCUGACUAUUGUUCACUUUUUGGGAAAAAAAAGUUAUUUAUCUGGCUGUGUUGGGUCUUAGUUGUGAACUCGGGACCUUCACUGCAUCCUUUGGGAUUUUUCUUUGCUGCGCACAGACUCUUUAGUUGUGGUGCAUGGGCUUAGUUGUCCCAAGGCAUGUGGGAUCCUAGUUCCUAGACCAGGAAUCCAACCCAAAUCCCCUGCAUUGCAAGGUGGAUUCUUAACCAUUGGACCACCAGGGAAGUCCCUAUUGUUUACUUUCAAGACUGUGCUUAGAACAUGCAAGGGACUGGAUGGUACUAAUUGUCUUUGCUGUUAGUUGUAACCAUUGUCAUAGCUAACCUGUGCAAAGCCCUCUGCCAGAGGACUUUGUUUAAUUUUAACAGUCAUCUAUGAUAUGGAUAUUAUUUUUAAAUCCCCAUUUUACAAUGAAGAAAUUGAGGCAGAGACUCUCUUAUCCAAGGUAAUAUAGCUAAUAAGAGGAGGAGCUGGGAUUUUAAAGUAGGCAAUGUCCCUCUAAAACCAGUUUACUGAACCACCAGUUUAUACUGCCUCUUUAGGGAUAUUGAGAUGAAAAAGACAGAAGCCCUGCUCUUGAGGUGCCACGGCCUCGUGGGGAAGACUGGCACAGAAACACUGGACCGUAGCAUGUGAGAAGCACUAUGAUGAAGCAUGUGGGAUCUCAGUCCCCUGACCAAGGAUUGAACCGACAUCCCCUGCACUGGAAGGCGGAUUCUUAACCACUGGACCUCCAGCUGCUGCUGCUGCUGCUAAGUCGCUUCAUUCGUGUCCGACUCUGUGUGACCCCAUAGACAGCAGCCCACCAGGCUCCUCGGUCCCUGGGAUUCUCCAGGCAAGAACACUGGAGUGGGUUGCCAUUUCCUUCUCCAGUGCAUGAAAGUGAAAAGUGAAAGUGAAGUUGCUCAGUCGUGUCCAACUCUUCUCGACCCCACAGACUGCAGCCUACCAGGCUCCUCCGUCCAUGGGAUUUUCCAGCUAGCCUUCUUUUAGGUAAGAUGCCUGCAGGAGCUUGGAGCAAAGAGAGAUUAAGGGAGGCAAUGAAAACUGUUCUCCCCCUACCUGAGAUGUGUGCUCAGUCACUCAAUCGUGUCCGACUUUUUGCAACUCCACGGACUGCAGCCCGCCAGGCUCCUCUGUCCAUGGAAUUUUCCAGG